GAUGAACGCUAGCGGCAGGCUUAACACGUGCAAGUCGAGGGGUAUAGGUUUUCGGACCUAGAGACCGGCGCACGGGUGCGUAACGCGUAUGCAAUCUACCUUUCACAAAGGGAUAGCCCAGAGAAAUUUGGAUUAAUACCUUAUAGUAUUACGUUUUGGCAUCAAGAUGUAAUUAAAGAUUUAUCGGUGAAAGAUGAGCAUGCGUCCCAUUAGUUAGUUGGUAAGGUAACGGCUUACCAAGACUACGAUGGGUAGGGGUCCUGAGAGGGAGAUCCCCCACACUGGUACUGAGACACGGACCAGACUCCUACGGGAGGCAGCAGUGAGGAAUAUUGGACAAUGGGCGCAAGCCUGAUCCAGCCAUGCCGCGUGCAGGAUGACGGUCCUAUGGAUUGUAAACUGCUUUUGUACAGGAAGAAACACUGGUUCGUGAACCAGCUUGACGGUACUGUAAGAAUAAGGAUCGGCUAACUCCGUG
rnacentral:rRNA from 1 species